AACAGUAAGAGAUUAUGUGCUGUGUUAUCAGGCAGCCGGCACAUGACUUGUUACUGCUCA
rnacentral:pre_miRNA from 1 species